CAAGUCGAACGCUUCUUUCCUCCCGAGUGCUUGCACUCAAUUGGAAAGAGGAGUGGCGGACGGGUGAGUAACACGUGGGUAACCUACCCAUCAGAGGGGGAUAACACUUGGAAACAGGUGCUAAUACCGCAUAACAGUUUAUGCCGCAUGGCAUAAGAGUGAAAGGCGCUUUCGGGUGUCGCUGAUGGAUGGACCCGCGGUGCAUUAGCUAGUUGGUGAGGUAACGGCUCACCAAGGCCACGAUGCAUAGCCGACCUGAGAGGGUGAUCGGCCACACUGGGACUGAGACACGGCCCAGACUCCUACGGGAGGCAGCAGUAGGGAAUCUUCGGCAAUGGACGAAAGUCUGACCGAGCAACGCCGCGUGAGUGAAGAAGGUUUUCGGAUCGUAAAACUCUGUUGUUAGAGAAGAACAAGGACGUUAGUAACUGAACGUCCCCUGACGGUAUCUAACCAGAAAGCCACGGCUAACUACGUGCCAGCAGCCGCGGUAAUACGUAGGUGGCAAGCGUUGUCCGGAUUUAUUGGGCGUAAAGCGAGCGCAGGCGGUUUCUUAAGUCUGAUGUGAAAGCCCCCGGCUCAACCGGGGAGGGUCAUUGGAAACUGGGAGACUUGAGUGCAGAAGAGGAGAGUGGAAUUCCAUGUGUAGCGGUGAAAUGCGUAGAUAUAUGGAGGAACACCAGUGGCGAAGGCGGCUCUCUGGUCUGUAACUGACGCUGAGGCUCGAAAGCGUGGGGAGCAAACAGGAUUAGAUACCCUGGUAGUCCACGCCGUAAACGAUGAGUGCUAAGUGUUGGAGGGUUUCCGCCCUUCAGUGCUGCAGCAAACGCAUUAAGCACUCCGCCUGGGGAGUACGACCGCAAGGUUGAAACUCAAAGGAAUUGACGGGGG
rnacentral:rRNA from 1 species